rnacentral:rRNA from 1 species
GAUGAACGCUGGCGGCGUGCCUAAUGCAUGCAAGUCGAGCGAACGGACGAGAAGCUUGCUUCUCUGAUGUUAGCGGCGGACGGGUGAGUAACACGUGGAUAACCUACCUAUAAGACUGGGAUAACUUCGGGAAACCGGAGCUAAUACCGGAUGAUAUUUUGAACCGCAUGGUUCAAAAGUGAAAGACGGUCUUGCUGUCACUUAUAGAUUGAUCCGCGCUGCAUUAGCUAGUUGGUAAGGUAACGGCUGACCAAGGCAACGAUGGAUAGCCGACUUGAGAGGGUGAUCGGCCACACUGGAACUGAGACACGGUCCAGACUCCUACGGGAGGCAGCAGUAGGGAAUCUUCCGCAAUGGGCGAAAGCCUGACGGAGCAAAGCCGCGUGAGUGAUGAAGGUCUUCGGAUCGUAAACCUCUGUUAUUAGGGAAGAACAUAUGCGUAAGUAAAUGUGCACAUAUUGACGGUACCUAAUCAGAAAGCCACGGCUAACUACGUG